rnacentral:rRNA from 1 species
UACGGAGGGAGCUAGCGUUGUUCGGAAUUACUGGGCGUAAAGCGCACGUAGGCGGCUACUCAAGUCGGGGGUGAAAGCCCGGGGCUCAACCCCGGAACUGCCUUCGAAACUAGGUAGCUAGAAUCUUGGAGAGGCGAGUGGAAUUCCGAGUGUAGAGGUGAAAUUCGUAGAUAUUCGGAAGAACACCAGUGGCGAAGGCGACUCGCUGGACAAGUAUUGACGCUGAGGUGCGAAAGCGUGGGGAGCAAACAGG